rnacentral:rRNA from 1 species
AGAGUUUGAUCCUGGCUCAGGAUGAACGCUGGCGGCGUGCUUAACACAUGCAAGUCGAACGAACCUUCGGGUUAGUGGCGGACGGGUGAGUAACGCGUGGGAAUCUGCCCUCAGGAGGGGGAUAACGGUUGGAAACGACCGCUAAUACCCCAUAUGCCGAGAGGUGAAAUGAAUUUCGCCUGAGGAUGAGCCCGCGUCUGAUUAGCUUGUUGGUGAGGUAAUGGCUCACCAAGGCUUCGAUCAGUAGCUGGUCUGAGAGGAUGAUCAGCCACACUGGGACUGAGACACGGCCCAGACUCCUACGGGAGGCAGCAGUGGGGAAUUUUCCGCAAUGGGCGAAAGCCUGACGGAGCAACGCCGCGUGAGGGAUGAAGGCCUCUGGGCUGUAAACCUCUUUUCUCAAGGAAGAAGAUAUGACGGUACUUGAGGAAUAAGCCACGGCUAAUUCCGUGCCAGCAGCCGCGGUAAUACGGGAGUGGCAAGCGUUAUCCGGAAUUAUUGGGCGUAAAGCGUCCGCAGGCGGCCCUUCAAGUCUGCUGUAAAAACGUGGAGCUUAACUCCAUCAUCGCAGUGGAAACUGUAGGGCUUGAGUGUGGUAGGGGCAGAGGGAAUUCCCGGUGUAGCGGUGAAAUGCGUAGAUAUCGGGAAGAACACCAGUGGCGAAGGCGCUCUGCUGGGCCAUAACUGACGCUCAUGGACGAAAGCCAGGGGAGCGAAAGGGAUUAGAUACCCCUGUAGUCCUGGCCGUAAACGAUGAACACUAGGUGUCGGGGGAAUCGACCCCCUCGGUGUCGUAGCUAACGCGUUAAGUGUUCCGCCUGGGGAGUACGCACGCAAGUGUGAAACUCAAAG